CUGAUGGAGCAUCAUCAAGAUUCACACACUUUAUCCAGGGCUAGUGGAGUAGAAGUUUAUGGUGGCUUUUCUUGGUCGCUUUUGCUUCAAUCCAAACGGCCCUUUGAUAUGGGAAUCUUGAUGAUGCUGCAGCGGCA
rnacentral:sRNA from 1 species